ACAUAUUGUAUCUGAAAGGGAAUAGAUUCUUACAGGUUUUAUUUGUGGGGAANNNNNNNNNNNNNNNNNNNNCCCUCCUUCCUGUUUUCCUACAAAAACAGGCCAACACCAACCCCCUGCCAGGUGCUCUGCAGGGCCCCGCUCCGGCCACAGGCAAUUGCCCUGUGGUGGUCUUAGAGAGGUAAGAUCUGUUGCCUCCCUGCAUACCUGAGCAGCAAGAUGUGAACCUCGGGGAGACUGAAUGCUGAAGGAAAUGGGUCAGAAGCAUUGAGCUGCAUGGGGACAGAGUCUGGAUUCCCCAGCAACACCAUAAGUUCAGGAAAUUUCUUCUCUUCCUGCCUUGGGCAAAAAUGGAGUUAUGGAAAUGAAAAUAUGCACAUAAUAUUAAAGGAGAAAAUCUUUGUCCAAAAGGAAAUUAUAAAGAAUGCUUCAAAGGUAGAUGAAUUGUGUUUUAACUACUAAAACUUUACUCCGCAGUCUCUGCUUGUGAGAACUAAACUCCUUUUGAUGAGAAAAGUGCUUUCUUUAGGUCUUGUGUAAUUAGUCUGGGAAAUGAGACAGAUGGAUUUUGAGGUGACGGUGGAAUGUGAAGGUUAAAUGUUGAAAUCUGACCAGCAGUGUUUGGAGGACAAAGAGAUGGCUGAACAGGAGGGGCUUCUGCAGCUGCCAGCACAGGUAGGCUGCAUUCUUCUGCCAGAAUGAGACUCUCCA
rnacentral:lncRNA from 14 species